GGAGUCGGCCGGGCAGCCGCGGUUGCGUUUCUGCGAGCGUCCUAAAAGGACGCCCCGCGGUGCGUAGCGGAGGAAAGUCCGGGCUCCACAGGACAGGGUGCCAGAUAACGUCUGGACGGUGCGAACCGAUGGAAAGUGCCACAGAAAACAUACCGCCCAACUGGUCCACCAGUGGGUAAGGGUGAAAAGGUGCGGUAAGAGCGCACCGCGUUCGUGGUAACACGAACGGCAGGGUAAACCCCACCCGGAGCAAGACCAAAUAGGAAUCCUAUGGUGUGGUCCGCACUGGAUUCGGGUAGGUCGCUUGAGUCGCGCGGUGACGCGCGUCCCAGAUGAAUGGUUGCCUUUGACAGAACCCGGCUUACAGGCCGGCUCCCAUC
rnacentral:RNase_P_RNA from 3 species